rnacentral:rRNA from 1 species
CGGACUGCAGCCUGCAACCCGGCUGCACGAAGCCGGAAUCGCUAGUAAUCGCGGAUCAGAAUGCCGCGGUGAAUACGUUCCCGGGUCUUGUACACACCGCCCGUCACACCAUGGGAGCCGGGAAUGCCCGAAGUCAGUGGCCCAACCGCAAGGAGGGAGCUGCCGAAGGCAGGCCCGGUGACUGGGGUGAAGUCGUAACAAGGUACC